GUUAUUUUUUCUUUAUAAAUUUUUUAUGCACCCGGAAAAAUGCAAUUUGAUCAUCAACAGAAAAAGGAUCUUACUCAGUCUACAAUCGAAUCCGUCCAUUACAUUCAUAUUUGAUGCAUACAAGAGUCGCCGUUAGACGAGAAUCUUAUUAGCCGGUCAUUCAUCCCACCCGAAUGGGUCAAAAACUGCUAAUUUUGUAACUGAGAAGAUCAUCGAAAACUGUAAAAAUGCCUGGAAAGGAAAAAGUGUAUACCAGAGUUGAAUACAAUUGAUGGAAUGCUGCAGAAAAUAAAUGGACACUUGGAAUGAC